AGGGUUACAAAUAGAGUAAGAGCCACUGGCAGCAGGAGUCUCUCCUGGCCUCGCUCGGCAGAUCUCCUCCCCUUUCUCCUCUCCGGGCGGCGAAUGCUUCUUCUCUAUACCUCCGCGUAGGGUUCCGAUCACUGAUGCCAUCUUUUGGCUUCAGUGAUUUGCGGAUACUUAUCGCGUCCGGGAAUCGCGGUAGAUUUUGAGGAAAAGGUGCUGCCUUUAUCGGCAUCCCGCCUUUGAUGAGGUAGGGGGAGGGGAGGAGUAGGGGAAGAACAGGAGGAAUCAUGAUCUGGCCAGGGCUUAACCUGGUCAUGACGGUGAUCGGAUUCGCGGUGAGCACCAUGUUCAUAGUUUUCGUGUGCACGCGGCUCAUCUGUGCGAGAAUCCACCUCAGGAACUCACGAAUGUCGCUUCCUACUGACGCCUCCAGAUCUGACCUUGGCAUUGUUGGUUCGUUUGCUCUGGAACGUGGGAUCCAUGGCUUGGAACCAGUUACAGUUGCUAGUUUUCCAACAAAGAAAUUUGGGGCUCAUCCUUUUUCUUCUGGACAAGACACACAGUGUACAGUGUGUCUUGCAGAAUACCAAGAGAAGGAUGUCUUGCGCAUUCUACCUUUUUGCGGGCACACUUUCCAUGUCAUUUGCAUAGAUAUAUGGCUGAAACAACAUUCAACAUGCCCUGUCUGUAGAAUUUCCUUGCGAGAUUCUCCCGAUAGAAAGCGCUCCAUGCAGCCUCUCUACUGUCCUCCCGCCAGGCCCUUUUCUCCGUCUGAAACUCUUGGUUCAGAUCCGUGCCAGUCCCAGUUCUCAGAGUCCGUUUUUUCUGUAAGAGUCGGAGAAACCCAGAGAACUGUAUCUCAUCAAGGCGACCAGUUUGUGUAAUUAUCACGCAGUCAGGCGAGAAAUCCUUCUUGAACUUGAAGUUAACUGUUCCACGCCAAGAGAAGAAAAUCUGAAGAUCCGACCAAAUUCUUUGGCUCGCAAAUGUUAGGAAACCUGCAUGCUUGUGAUUGAUUUCCAUGCAUUUAAAUAGCAUUCAAAAUUUCAGAAGCUAACAGCAAAGCUUCUGUUGCUCAAAUUCUUCUUUUCAUUUGUUCGACGCAUGUAAAAUAAUAGUGAAUUUUGGGUAGCUUGAUAUCUAGUCAGGAAUCUGUCCUCCUUGAAUCUAUCUGGGUGUUUUUAGAAUACAGUUUAAGUUGGUCAAGUGAACAACCCUAUUGAACCUCAGAUGCUUGAAGAUAAACAGAUUAAACUAUGGAGAUGUGUUCUCUGGCAAAACCAAGAGUGAUCAGAUGAGCUAAGUUUCUCCUAUCCCUGCAGUAAAAAAGUCAAGAUGGUGAUCUAGUCAACUGCUCACAACAAACACAGAUGGAUUGGGCAUGGGAAGUAGGUUAGUAGUAGUUGCAAAUCUCUGUCAUCGAUGAUUGAGCAUGAAUGAAUUGGUCAAUAUUUCUGUGAUUUUUAAUUAAUAACCUGGUCAAUGGAUGCUGA